rnacentral:lncRNA from 1 species
GAGUUCGAAUUUUGAGUUAGUUGUUGUUAGUGGGAUAGUGGGGAGGAAUUUGAGGGAUUUUUGGGAUAUCUUUUUUAUUUUUAUUUUAUUUUUCAAAAUUCCUCUCUUUAUAGGAAAACUGACGUCAAAUUUUCUUUUGCUUUCCUUUGUUCUUUUAUUCCUCACCUUUUUUGUUACUUCCUUUAUUUUUCUUUGAUCCAUCAACGAAUCUUAGUAUUUUGUUGUUUUGUUUUCUUUCGAUUGUUUGCAGCGAAUCGUGAAGUGCAGGGCUCUCU